rnacentral:rRNA from 1 species
CCUACGGUGGGCAGCAGUCGGGAAUAUUGCGCAAUGGAGGAAACUCUGACGCAGUGACGCAGCGUGCAGGAAGAAGGUUUUCGGAUUGUAAACUGCUUUUUACAGGGAAGUUAAUGGCGGUACCUGUAGAAUAAGCCCCGGCGAACUACGUGACAGCAGCCGCGGUAAUACGUAGGGAGCAAGCGUUAUACGGAUUUAUUGGGUGUAAAGGGAGCGUAGACGGGAAGGCAAGUUAGUUGUGAAAUUCCUCGGCUUAACUGAGGAACUGCAAAUAAAACUAUCUGUCUUGAGUGCUGGAGAGGUAGGUGGAAUUCGUGGUGUAGCGGUGAAAUGCGUAGAUAUUAGGAGGAACACCAGUUGCGAAGGCAACUUUCUAGACAGUAACUGACAUUGAGGCACGAAAGUGUGGGGAGCAAACAGGAUUAGAUACCCGAGUAGUC